GAUGAACGCUGGCGGCGUGCCUAAUACAUGCAAGUCGAACGAACAGACGCGGCGCUUGCUCCUCGGACGUUAGCGGCGCACGGGUGAGUAACACGUGUAUAACCUACCUGUAAUACUGGGAUAACUUCGGGAAACCGGCGCUAAUCCCGGAUGAUAUAUUGAUCCGCGUGGUUCAUUGGUGAAAUACGGUUUUGCUGUAACUUCUAGCUGGAUCCGCGCCGCAUUAGCUAGUUGGUAAGGUAACGGCCUACCAAGGCAACGAUGCGUAGCCGACCUGCGAGGGUGAUCGGCCACACUGGAAGGGAGACACGGUCAAUACUCCUACGGGAGGCAGCAGUAGGGAAUCUGCCGCAAUGGUCGAAAGCAUGACGGAGCAACGCGGCGCGAGAGAUGAAGGUCUCCGGAGCGGAAAAACCGGUUACGAGUGAAGAACAAAUUUGUAAGGAACUAUGCACGGCUUGACGGUACCUAAUAAGAAAGCAACGGCUAACUACGUG
rnacentral:rRNA from 1 species